rnacentral:RNase_P_RNA from 1 species
GACGGAUGGCCGCUCUCGUGAAAACGAGGGAGGAAAGUCCGGGCACCGCAAGGCAGGAUGCUGGAUAACGUCCAGGCGUAGAAAUACGACGGAUAGCGCAGCAGAAAACAUACCGCCUCGCAAGAGGUAAGGGUGAAAAGGCGAGGCAAGAGCUCACCGCGUUUCUGGUGACAGGAACGGCACGGCAAGCCCCAUCCGGUGCAAGACCAAGCAGAGUUCCGCACUUUUCGGAGUGCCUGGGUAGCCUUUUCCAGCCGGAAUUCGGGUAGGUUGCUUGAGGCCGCUAGUAAUAGCGGAUCCAGAUAGAUGGUCAUCGCCGACCUCUGGCCGGCACAAAACCCGGCUUAUAGUCGUCCCU